rnacentral:rRNA from 1 species
CAGCAGCCGCGGGAAUACGUAGGUGGCAAGCGUUGUCCGGAAUUAUUGGGCGUAAAGGGCUCGCAGGCGGUUUCUUAAGUCUGAUGUGAAAGCCUCCGGCUCAACCGGGGAGGGUCAUUGGAAACUGGGAAACUUGAGUGCAGAAGAGGAGAGUGGAAUUCCACGUGUAGCGGUGAAAUGCGUAGAGAUGUGGAGGAACACCAGUGGCGAAGGCGACUCUCUGGUCUGUAACUGACGCUGAGGAGCGAAAGCGUGGGGAGCGAACAGGAUUAGAUACCCCUGUAGUCCCUGUCUCUUAUAC